UGCUCCAAAUCCAUUUUCCACAUUUUGUUUCACUCAAACGUACGAAGAAUUGAUUUGCGUGAAACAAAGUGUGGAAAAUGGAUUUGAAGCA
rnacentral:miRNA from 1 species